UGUCAAGGGAUGGGAAUCUAACCCACGACCUUCCGCUUAUCGGGCAGAUGCCAUGACCACUAGGCUACCCUGGAC
rnacentral:tRNA from 1 species